rnacentral:sRNA from 1 species
GCCAGGCAUGGUGGCAUGUUCCUGUAGUCCCAGCUAUUUGAGAGACAGAGGCAAGAAGAUUGCUUGAGGCCAGCCUGGGCAACAUAGCAGUUUCCUCUUUCUU